AGUGAACGCUGGCGGUAGGCCUAACACAUGCAAGUCGAACGGCAGCACAGUAAGAGCUUGCUCUUACGGGUGGCGAGUGGCGGACGGGUGGGGAAUACAUCGGAAUCUACUUUUUCGUGGGGGAUAACGUAGGGAAACUUACGCUAAUACCGCAUACGACCUACGGGUGAAAGCAGGGGAUCUUCGGACCUUGCGCGAUUGAAUGAGCCGAUGUCGGAUUAGCUAGUUGGCGGGGUAAAGGCCCACCAGGGCGACGAUCCGUAGCUGGUCUGAGAGAUGAUCAGCCACACUGGAACUGAGACACGGUCCAGACUCCUACGGGAGGCAGCAGUGGGGAAUAUUGGACAAUGGGCGCAAGCCUGAUCCAGCCAUACCGCGUGGGUGAAGAAGGCCUUCGGGUUGUAAAGCCCUUUUGUUGGGAAAGAAAAGCAGCAGGUUAAUACCCCGCUGUUCUGACGGUACCCAAAGAAUAAGCACCGGCUAACUUCGUG
rnacentral:rRNA from 1 species